ACAGAAUUGCCAUUAAUUAGGGCCCAAGUGCCAAGGUGCGAAAACCCUCUUGGAUUUCCUCUGUUUAUUAUUAUUAUUAUUAUUAUUAUUAUUAUUCCGACAGGGGCCUGUUGCACAAAAGUAGAAUUAAGACAUCCAGGAUAAAUGACUCAGCUGAGCUCAAUAAAGCCAAAACAUGUGCGUCCAGGCUUAAUUGGUUGCACAAAGACCAAGCCAGGAUGAGCAGACACGGAUUCAUUAAGCCAGGUGAAACCAAUCCUGGAUAGGUGCGCGCUCACGGCUCACUCAAAUAGACCCCGCCACAGAUCACAGAUUAACUGAUUUACCAUGGCAACUAGAGCCGCGUACUUUUCCCCAUCGGAAGCACAAAUCCUCAUGGAGGCAUACGAGGAGGUAAAAGAUAUAAUUAAGAAGAAAGGCAACACCGCCACAGUGAUAAAGCAAAGAGAAAAAGCGUGGCAAAGUAUUGCAGACCGCCUGAAUGCAUUAAACAUGAACGGGCCAAAACGGACAUGGCAGCAGGUCAAAAUCAAAUACAAGAACAUUCUGCAGAAUGCAGUGAAAAAGAAUACCCACAGACAAGGCACGGGUGGUGGGUCACCAAAGGCUGACCUUACCCCAGCAGAGGACAUGGCCUUGGAGCUAAAUAAAGGCAGGCCCGUCUUAGAGGGGAUCCCUGGGGGGAAAGAGACGAGCAUAGGUUCCUCCCAAGAUGCCACCCGCUUCAUUCAAGUGUCUGGCAGCACUGUGUUCCUGUUAGAGCCACCAGCACAAGCACCAGACGAUGCUGAUCCAGGUGAAAGCCCCAGUGCAGCAGCAACAGCACAUGAUGGAGACGAUGAUGAGGAGGAGACCAUCUCUGUGGAUUCCAGAAGGCAUGAGGACCCAGAUGCUAUACAGUGGGAAAACCAGCCUGGCAACAUAAGCUCACAAGCUAUCAGAAAGUUGUAUGGCAACCACCUCCGGCGCCAAAUAGAACUGGCAGACAUAGACAUUCAGUACAAGAAGAAAAAGAUAGAAAAUCUUGCACUGGAGUCCGAAAUAAAAAAGAGGACAAUUAGGAAACUGGACCUUGAAAUAAAAAAACUUGAGAGGGAGCUCCAAGAAGAUGACACAGCUCAAAAUAAAAAUUAGGUAUAUUCUCGUAAAGUCAAGUGAGCCAUGACAUAUGAGCUCUUAUUGUGAGCACACAGGACGGUGGCAUCUUUCUAAGUGGAGCCUUCCUGUACUCAGUGGGGGAUGCAGAACAGCUGAACAAGGCCACAAUUUGCCGCACAAUAAGGAGUGUGUGUCUGGCUAUCAAAGCAUUAGCAGAUGUCUUCAUCUCCUUCCCUGGCCAC